UCGGACGGGUGGAGUAACGACGUGGAAAACCUAGCCGUAUACUGGGGGAGUAACACUUAGAAAUAGGUGCUAAUACCGCAUAAGCGCACAGCUUCGCAUGAAGCGGUGUGAAAAACUCUGGUGGUAUACGAUGGUUCCGCGUCUGAUUAGCUAGUUGGUGGGGUAAUGGCCUACCAAGGCAACGAUCAGUAGCCGGCCUGAGAGGGUGAACGGCCACAUUGGGACUGAGACACGGCCCAAACUCCUACGGAAGGCAGCAG
rnacentral:rRNA from 1 species